rnacentral:rRNA from 1 species
AGAGUUUGAUCCUGGCUCAGAUUGAACGCUGGCGGAAUGCCUUACACAUGCAAGUCGAACGGCAGCACGGGAGCAAUCCUGGUGGCGAGUGGCGAACGGGUGAGUAAUACAUCGGAACGUGCCCAAUCGUGGGGGAUAACGUAGCGAAAGCUACGCUAAUACCGCAUACGAUCUACGGAUGAAAGCAGGGGAUCGCAAGACCUUGCGCGAAUGGAGCGGCCGAUGGCAGAUUAGGUAGUUGGUGGGGUAAAGGCUCACCAAGCCUUCGAUCUGUAGCUGGUCUGAGAGGACGACCAGCCACACUGGGACUGAGACACGGCCCAGACUCCUACGGGAGGCAGCAGUGGGGAAUUUUGGACAAUGGGCGAAAGCCUGAUCCAGCAAUGCCGCGUGCAGGAAGAAGGCCUUCGGGUUGUAAACUGCUUUUGUACGGAAAGAAAAGGCUCUUUCUAAUAAAGAGGGCUAAUGACGGUACCGUAAGAAUAAGCACCGGCUAACUACGUGCCAGCAGCCGGGAA